rnacentral:rRNA from 1 species
ACUUAAAUUGAAGAGUUUGAUCAUGGCUCAGAUUGAACGCUGGCGGCAGGCCUAACACAUGCAAGUCGAGCGGUAGCACAGAGAGCUUGCUCUCGGGUGACGAGCGGCGGACGGGUGAGUAAUGUCUGGGAAACUGCCUGAUGGAGGGGGAUAACUACUGGAAACGGUAGCUAAUACCGCAUAACGUCGCAAGACCAAAGUGGGGGACCUUCGGGCCUCAUGCCAUCAGAUGUGCCCAGAUGGGAUUAGCUAGUAGGUGGGGUAAUGGCUCACCUAGGCGACGAUCCCUAGCUGGUCUGAGAGGAUGACCAGCCACACUGGAACUGAGACACGGUCCAGACUCCUACGGGAGGCAGCAGUGGGGAAUAUUGCACAAUGGGCGCAAGCCUGAUGCAGCCAUGCCGCGUGUAUGAAGAAGGCCUUCGGGUUGUAAAGUACUUUCAGCGAGGAGGAAGGCGUUAAGGUUAAUAACCUUGGUGAUUGACGUUACUCGCAGAAGAAGCACCGGCUAACUCCGUGCCAGCAGCCGCGGUAAUACGGAGGGUGCAAGCGUUAAUCGGAAUUACUGGGCGUAAAGCGCACGCAGGCGGUCUGUCAAGUCGGAUGUGAAAUCCCCGGGCUCAACCUGGGAACUGCAUUCGAAACUGGCAGGCUAGAGUCUUGUAGAGGGGGGUAGAAUUCCAGGUGUAGCGGUGAAAUGCGUAGAGAUCUGGAGGAAUACCGGUGGCGAAGGCGGCCCCCUGGACAAAGACUGACGCUCAGGUGCGAAAGCGUGGGGAGCAAACAGGAUUAGAUACCCUGGUAGUCCACGCCGUAAACGAUGUCGACUUGGAGGUUGUGCCCUUGAGGCGUGGCUUCCGGAGCUAACGCGUUAAGUCGACCGCCUGGGGAGUACGGCCGCAAGGUUAAAACUCAAAUGAAUUGACGGGGGCCCGCACAAGCGGUGGAGCAUGUGGUUUAAUUCGAUGCAACGCGAAGAACCUUACCUACUCUUGACAUCCAGAGAACUUAGCAGAGAUGCUUUGGUGCCUUCGGGAACUCUGAGACAGGUGCUGCAUGGCUGUCGUCAGCUCGUGUUGUGAAAUGUUGGGUUAAGUCCCGCAACGAGCGCAACCCUUAUCCUUUGUUGCCAGCGAUUCGGUCGGGAACUCAAAGGAGACUGCCAGUGAUAAACUGGAGGAAGGUGGGGAUGACGUCAAGUCAUCAUGGCCCUUACGAGUAGGGCUACACACGUGCUACAAUGGCAUAUACAAAGAGAAGCGACCUCGCGAGAGCAAGCGGACCUCAUAAAGUAUGUCGUAGUCCGGAUUGGAGUCUGCAACUCGACUCCAUGAAGUCGGAAUCGCUAGUAAUCGUAGAUCAGAAUGCUACGGUGAAUACGUUCCCGGGCCUUGUACACACCGCCCGUCACACCAUGGGAGUGGGUUGCAAAAGAAGUAGGUAGCUUAACCUUCGGGAGGGCGCUUACCACUUUGUGAUUCAUGACUGGGGUGAAGUCGUAACAAGGUAACCGUAGGGGAACCUGCGGUUGGAUCACCUCCUUACCUUAAAGAA